UACGGAGGGUGCGAGCGUUGUUCGGAAUCACUGGGCGUAAAGGGCGCGUAGGCGGUCAGCACAAGUCAGUUGUGAAAUCUCCGGGCUUAACUCGGAAAGGUCAACUGAUACUGUGCGACUAGAGUGCAGAAGGGGCAACUGGAAUUCUCGGUGUAGCGGUGAAAUGCGUAGAUAUCGAGAGGAACACCUGCGGCGAAGGCGGGUUGCUGGGCUGACACUGACGCUGAUGCGCGAAAGCCAGGGGAGCGAACGGG
rnacentral:rRNA from 1 species